rnacentral:rRNA from 1 species
CCUACGGGUGGCAGCAGUGAGGAAUAUUGGUCAAUGGACGGAAGUCUGAACCAGCCAUGCCGCGUGCAGGAAGACGGCUCUAUGAGUUGUAAACUGCUUUUGUACAAGGGUAAACCUGAAUACGUGUAUUCAGCUGAAAGUACUGUACGAAUAAGGAUCGGCUAACUCCGUGCCAGCAGCCGCGGUAAUACGGAGGAUCCAAGCGUUAUCCGGAUUUAUUGGGUGUAAAGAGUUCGUAGGCGGCAUGUAAAGUCAGGUGUUAAAGGCGCAGGCUCAACCUGUGUAUGGCACUUGAUACUUGCAAGCUGGAAUGCGGUAGAGGUAAAGGGAAUUCCUGGUGUAGCGGUGAAAUGCUUAGAUAUCAGGAGGAACAUCGGUGGCGUAAGCGCUUUACUGGGCCGUAAUUGACGCUGAGGAACGAAAGCCAGGGUAGCAAAUGGGAUUAGAUACCCUGGUAGUC